rnacentral:snRNA from 1 species
CGCCGUUUAACGGCAAUUUGGUCAAUUUGAAACGAUACAGAGAAGAUUAGCAUGGCCCCUGCACUAAGGAUGACACGCUUCUCAAAGAGUACUUCAAGUUUUUU